GUUUGGGCUCUGUGCGAUGGCGUUCUGCGAACCAUGUCAGGCGGGGAACCGAGCAGCAUUAAGCAGCUUCUGCCGUGCGCCGCAGAUUCACCUGAAUACC
rnacentral:SRP_RNA from 1 species